rnacentral:tRNA from 2 species
GGGGAUGUAGCUCAGUGGGAGAGCGCCCGCCUUGCACGCGGGAGGUCGGGGGUUCGAAUCCGCCCAUCUCCA